UACGUAGGGGCUAGCGUUGUCCGGAAUCAUUGGGCGUAAAGCGCGUGUAGGCGGUCCGGUAAGUCCGCUGUGAAAGUCGGGGGCUCAACCCUCGAAUGCCGGUGGAUACUGUCGGGCUAGAGUGCGGAAGAGGCGAGUGGAAUUCCUGGUGUAGCGGUGAAAUGCGCAGAUAUCAGGAGGAACACCGGUGGCGAAGGCGGGUCUCUGGGCCGAUACUGACGCUGAGGAGCGAAAGCAUGGGUAGCGAACAG
rnacentral:rRNA from 1 species